rnacentral:rRNA from 1 species
AACGAACGCUGGCGGCAGGCUUAACACAUGCAAGUCGAGCGCCCCGCAAGGGGAGCGGCAGACGGGUGAGUAACACGUGGGAACCUUCCUAGAGGUACGGAACAACUCAGGGAAACUUGAGCUAAUACCGUAUACGCUCUUGCGAGGAAAGAUUUAUCGCCUUUAGACGGGCCGGCGUCGGAUUAGCUAGUUGGUGGGGUAACGGCCUACCAAGGCGACGAUCCGUAGCUGAUCUGAGAGGAUGAUCAGCCACACUGGGACUGAGACACGGCCCAGACUCCUACGGGAGGCAGCAGUGGGGAAUCUUGGACAAUGGGCGCAAGCCUGAUCCAGCCAUGCCGCGUGAGUGAAGAAGGCCUUCGGGUUGUAAAGCUCUUUUGCCAGGGACGAUAAUGACGGUACCUGGAGAAUAGGCCCCGGCAAACUUCGUGCCAGCCGCCGCGGUAA